AUCCAGCUGAAGAGUCCCGAAUGGGACGAAAUACGAAUCUUAGAU
rnacentral:hammerhead_ribozyme from 1 species